GACGAACGCUGGCGGCGUGCCUAAUACAUGCAAGUCGAGCGCAGGAAGUCAUCCGAACCCUUCGGGGGGACGUUGACGGAAUGAGCGGCGGACGGGUGAGUAACACGUAAAGAACCUGCCCUCAGGUCUGGGAUAACCACGAGAAAUCGGGGCUAAUACCGGAUGGGUCAUCGGACCGCAUGGUCCGAGGAUGAAAGGCGCUCCGGCGUCGCCUGGGGAUGGCUUUGCGGUGCAUUAGCUAGUUGGUGGGGUAAUGGCCCACCAAGGCGACGAUGCAUAGCCGACCUGAGAGGGUGAUCGGCCACACUGGGACUGAGACACGGCCCAGACUCCUACGGGAGGCAGCAGUAGGGAAUCUUCCACAAAGGACGAAAGUCUGAUGGAGCAACGCCGCGUGAACGAUGAAGGCCCUCGGGUCGUAAAGUUCUGUUGUAAGGGAAGAACAAGUGCCGCAGGCAAUGGCGGCACCUUGACGGUACCUUGCGAGAAAGCCACGGCUAACUACGUG
rnacentral:rRNA from 1 species